AGUCGCCGCCGCCGCCGCCGCCGCCAGGAUGGCCGGGCCGGGCUCGCUGUGCUGCGCGUCCCGGGGGGCCUCGGCGCUCCUAGCCACCGCGCUUCUCUACGCCGCUCUGGGGGACGUGGUGCGCUCCGAGCAGCAGAUCCCGCUCUCCGUAGUGAAGCUGUGGGCCUCCGCUUUUGGUGGGGAGAUAAAAUCCAUCGCUGCCAAGUACUCGGGCUCCCAGCUUCUGCAAAAGGUAAGGUUUCUGUGGUGACAGACAGCGAUGAUUUUUCUAGCACAGAAAAUGGAGGCAGAUUUAGUUUUUCCAAACAAACGUGAGCCCAGAGCUGCAUCAGUUAUCAGAGUAGUCUCUGAUCUCCCGUUCUUGGCAUUGUACUGUGCAGUGACUUCUCCCUACCAACCGGUUAUUUUUAGAUGACACUUGAUUCCAAACACAAAGAAAAGCAGGAUACUCACUCGCACUGUCCUGGCUGGGGCUCGGAAACAGUGUGUUUGCAUGGCUCUUCUCGCAGUUGUUGGUAUUGCUGUCUCAGUGCGAGAGCAGAUGCUUCCCUGGCCAAAAGAUGCUAACUUCUUCCAAGGGGCAGAAUCCGGCGGGCAGCGUCUGUUUUCGGAGCCUCCACCUUGCUCGGGAGUCAUAGGGUUCAGUGUAUUGGCGAGAUACCAGCAGCUUUGUUUGUCAUCCCUGCAGUCCUACAAUCCCAUUAUUCCCCAAUCAUCUAGACCCAGGGCUGGGGUGCAUUGCAUCAUUACAGAUAAGGCGAAUGGAUGUGGUUAUCUUUCCACUCAGCUGCACUGCCGGGUAAUAAGCUCUGAGAGUGGUCCACAAACUUAGGAAAUUGGUCUGCGUCCAUAUAUUUCUGUAAAGUAAUGAGAAUGGAGAAUUGAUUAUUAGGCUGGUAUCAGGAGUUGCAUCAGUUUUAAUUCAAAUAGGCAGCAUAAAGCUUAAAAUUACAUCUUGAGAUAUAUGGCCCUCUUUAUCCCCUUUAAGAUAAAGAAUGAGCUGGUGGGUGGGUGGGUGAGGGUGGAGACCAGAGCGGGUGAAAAGAAUUUCAAGCUAGUAAACGAACCAAAUUAAUCCAGAUAUUCUCCUGACAAUAGAAAAUAAGAUUGGCCUUUAGGGGACAAUUCUCAGAGACUGGGUAUAAAGAGCUUAAAUUGUUAAGUUAACUUUUAAGCAUUUUAAAAUGUGUUUUUCGGGCCAAUGUACCAUAUGUGUUGCGCAUGCUGCCUGGUAACCAAGUCCAUAUUUUAUUUAUGGCAUUCCGUUUCAGAGAGUAGCAUUGCGGGGCAUUAUAUGACACUGUUUGCCACACGAAAUUCAAAUAUUAUAAUAAGGCAUUGUCCAAUAAUAGGAUAGCAAGGUGUGCUGGAAAAAAAAAAAUGCCAGGCAUUGAAUCCUUCAAGCCAUAGGGAAGAUUGUUCACCUUCAGGCUGGGAAGAAGUUCACUGAAAUGUAGUCAGUGAUAAAACUUGAUGCAUUGGCCUGCCUUGAUGGAAGACAGCCAUUUACAUACCUGCUACCUUCCUCUUUUUUUUUUUUUUAAGAAUGGCCUUUCUCCCUGGUAUUCUUUUAAUUUGGUCCAGCCUUGCCUGUACACUGGCUUUUUGCCUGCUUGUCAGAUGUUUUAUAUGACAAGCUCCGGACUGUGACACAGCCUGCGUAUUUUGCCUAUGCUUUGAAUUCCUAGACGCUCUGAGUGUGAGCAUAUUGUAUAACUUUAAAGAGAUAUUUCUCAUCUGCAUGUUGUAGUUGUAACAGUUCCAAAAGAACCCCCUGUUUGGUCUCUGUUGUACUUAGCAUCUAGCUCACAUUUUUUGGGGGAACACAUGAAAUACAUUUGUCUUCUCUUGGAAGUUUGUGCACACAUGUGUGCUGCACAGAUCCCAUCAGCCCCAUUAUUAGUUAUUGUAUAAUAGCAAAUUGGCAGUGGCUAAGAUACUUCUCAUCGGCACGGUUCCUGAGACUGAAUUCACCAGCCUUGCUCUGCCCUUGUUGAGUUUGCAGCUUGACAAUUGUGUAAUUAUUUCCAGCUGUUUAGUGCUUUGUUGCCCUUUCUUGCUGCUGUCUGGCGUUUUGUAACUAAUUCGGGGGAAGGUGAAUUGGUGCUUUCAGUUAGGGUCCAGGGUGGGUAUUUAUCUGCUCUAGUACUGGGGUUUGUCAUCUUUCACAACAGGGGCUGUGAAACACCCAGGGCUUUGGGUUGCUUGGCAGAUACUUUCAGGAGUGACCAGAAGUGUGAAUGAGAUGCUUUAGGAAGUACCUUUAAGAAACCUCUGAGCCACGCUGAUCUCCCAAAUGUGACUGCAUUCUUUAAAAUGGUGAAGAACAUUGCUUCAGAGCAUCCAGCUGUAGUGAGAAAGUGGAGAUGCUCUGAGUGUUGGAGACAAAGCAGCACUUGGAAAAGUAAGGGUACCGUCACCCUCCUGCUUAUUUUCAAGUUUCUGGCCACUUGCAUUAGGACUUAUUUCCUUAAACCAAAACAGCACACAUCUAUCCAUCUCCUCUCUGUAUUCUAACAAUUGAGGUGCUUUGAAAGUGAGUUAAAAAAUUCAAUUGGAAAAUGCAUUAACACUGUGUUAAGGGAAUUCAUGGGUGACAAUACUGGGUUGCAUAAUAGACCGUAAUUUCAUUUGUAAGGUGCGGGCAUUUACAUUUGAUUCUCAGU
rnacentral:lncRNA from 1 species